ensembl:lncRNA
UUAUGGGCAAGAGCACAAUGUUUCUUAACACUGUCCUGCUUCACCUUACAAGUAAGCAAACCCUAAAACAAAUCAGAACUUCAGGAACAGAACUCAGGGGAGCAACCGUUUCUAACAACUGCAGAAUCUCUGCUCUCUAGGAAGGAUUCUCGCAGCAGUUUCACCAGAGUGAUUGUUUAUAUGUGUAAGCCCUACGCCUUCAUCUUAGAUUCUCAGUACAAAAACUUUGGCCAGUCCUGCCCAACUCGGAUCGGGGAUGAAGUUCAUUCAGAGAUGCUUCUCACCAGGCUGGCUGGAGAGCCGUGAACCUUUUGGCCAAACUCUCUAAGUCCUUCUGCUAAAUUUUAGAAGGGCCACAAACCACAGGGUAUCGUAUGAUCACGGAUGUAGAUUAGGAAUGGAGGCCAUCAAGUCCAACCCCUCAUCGUACAAAUAAAGAAAUUGAGGACCAGAGAGGCUCAGGGGCUGGUGCAAGCCAGGAGAAGUCCACACCGACGAAUCACGACUCCGUCUAAAACUUCCCAGAAAUCUUGGAAGAUAGCCCUGAAAGGAAAAUACAUCCAGAAGUGAAAUGAGUUUCCUUGGGAGCAUAUCCAUGAGCUCCGAUUUCCAGCAUUACACUUUCAGAAUGCCUAACAUCGGGUUCCAGAAUCUGCCUCUCAACAUAUACAUUGUGGUUUUUGGCACUGCGAUUUUUGUCUUCAUACUUAGUUUACUCUUCUGUUGCUACUUAAUCAGGCUAAGACAUCAAGCCCACAAAGAAUUUUACGCCUACAAACAGGUUAUAUUAAAAGAAAAAGUAAAAGAGCUGAAUUUGCAUGAGAUCUGUGCUGUCUGUUUGGAAGAUUUCAAGCCCAAAGAUGAAUUGGGUAUCUGCCCGUGUAAGCACGCCUUCCACAGGAAGUGCCUCAUCAAGUGGCUGGAGGUCCGGAAAGUGUGCCCACUGUGCAACAUGCCGGUGCUGCAGCUGGCGCAGCUACACAGUAAGCAGGACCGCGGCCCCCCCCCGGGCCCCCUCCCUGGGGCCGAGAACAUAGUCUAGCCCGCCCCCAGGACGGACUCGGACACACGAUAUCGCAGAGAACCCCAGGCGGAGGGCCGCUCGCCCCUGAACCGGCCGCCCCCGCGCAGAUGCACCAGUGAUCCCCGGCCCUCCCAAAGAGCUGCUCCUUUGGGUCCCGAAGCCACCGGAAGCCUCGGCCGCCCGCCCACGUCCUGGCACGGAGGGCCCGCGGGUGGGGGGUCCCGUGUGCGGCCCCAGCCCCUGUGCCCACCCAGAGUUUGCCUUGGAUAAGCAAGUGGGUGAUGGUAAGUGUGGCAGGAGGGACUGUGGGCUGAGCCUCGGGGGCUGGACCCCUGGACCACCAGGUCAACCCCCCCCCAGAGACCAAGCGUGAAGCUCCCUGAGCCGCCAGAUGAGCCGGCCCGCUCCAGACCCGCUGGCAUCCUGAUCCUGGAUCCCCAAAUCCCGUGGUUCUGAUGAAAAGCCCGGAGCCGCUGUGGGCCGGAUUGGGCAAGGCCCAGGGGAGCGGUGACUGCGCCACAGCCCUCGGCACUGGAUUGUCACCGGUGGUCAGACAGUGAGGAGCCGGAGAAAGAGCAUGGGUGGUCAGCACUGCCCAGCCAGGCGGCGGCGGGUUCUCCCCGGGACUUCCUGCUGGCCCGAACUGAGUAACAGGACUUGGGGUGGGGCAGCCCCGAGACCCAAGGGCAGGAGGGAGCAUCCGGACCGGGUCGUCACCCUCCCCAAUGACUCAGUAAGCCCACAGUCACCAAGCCUCCGGGAGCUGGGCCGCCAGCGGAUAGACUAGUGGCCGUGCAGCCAGAUUGGACACCAGCGCCCCUGAAAGUCAGCCCCCCAAAAGAAGCACCUGCCUACCCGAUCCCAGGCUCAGCCCACAACUGUUCCUCCCGUCUGUCCUCCCCAAACCCCUUUGUCUGACCCCAGUUCUACCCAUCUCUUGUCCUUAUUAGAACAAACGGUUCUUGAGUUUCCAGUUAGCUCUGAGGCACUGCUCUGAAAACAUCCCACGGUCUGUAUUUUUAAAAAUAUUUGAACUUGUAAAUAUUGUAUUCAGCAGCCCAGGAUUAAGGAGCCCACGAUUGUGUGUUUAGUUUUGUACUUGGCUCUGGAAACAUUAGCAAAAAGCCUAUUUAUAGAAGCCAUAGAUGGCUUUGUCUCUUGCACUCACAGACUUUUGUAGAAAUGACCCAAAAGUAGCUGAUCUUUGGGGGGUACCAGAAUAUGUUGUAAAUUAGCUCUUAGAAAGAAGCGAUGGCCCUAGCGGCUCUUCCCCACGGCCCAGCCCGGCCCCUCACAUAACUUCGGCAAGGCCUCCGUGUCCGGGAAGGCUGCUCUGCCUGUAUCAUGUCCCACACCUGCUGGAACAUGGCGGGCCAAGACUGAACUAAAGCAAAAGAUUUCAUCCUCAAGUGCUUCCCGCUGGUGCCCCCCCCUCCCCACCAUCCACUAGAAAUCAGAAAGGGAUUCCACCGGUUAGGGGGCUAGAAAAGGAAAAUGGAAACUGCAGUUGUGGGGAGCCGGCGGACUCCUCCCCCGGUCUGAUCUGGGGGGUUCUGUAGGUCCUGUCCGGGUUCUCGAACAAGGGAGUGGAAGGGAAGGCUAUUUUUAUAGUAGAGCUAAAUUUAACCUGCUGGGCUCCAUGCUUCUUUUCUGAGCCAUUAAUGGAAAGGAUACCAGUUAUAAGUACUCCCGCCUCCCUUCUGACUUAUCUAUUCCUUUUCUGCAUCUCUGGCAGUCGUUAAGUGCCGGGAAACCAAUAGAUUUGCCUGAACUUUGGUAAAACAGGUUUACAGUAAAAUAUUUUUAGUGACCAAUGUCAAAAGAGAAUAUUGGGCUUGUCUCUGGAUCUGUACAGUUCAGUUACAUUGUUUACAGCCUAGGAUUUUCCAGGAACAUGGGACAGCUUUGGAAUAAGUGCCAUUUCUUCCAUAUGGGGCCACGAUCAAAACAGAAGUCAGAAAUCUGGGGACCGUGAAGCUUUUAGCUUGUGCUCCCGUCCCCUCCAACCCCAAUCUGUAGGACUACCCCCUUGGGGCCGUUGCUCUGCUUCUUUGAGUAGGGACCUCAGCAAGGGACUUUUUUUAAGGGCAAAACAUUUUAGUCCAAUAUCUCAAAUAUUCUUUCCAGCUGAAAGUCUGUUCAGACAUUGACUCUAUAAUUCCAACUUAGCUCCGUCGACCGAGGGCCAAAAUAACAAAAUCAAAAUGUCUUCUCAUUCACAGAUCGGAAAGGAGUCCAGUUGGGUACAAAUGUCCCAACAGACUCCACCUGGUGUCUGUACUGUUUGUUUACACUAAUUGUCUAAGCAGAAAGUCGGCACUGUCCCCACGAAUCCAUCCUGACAUUAGUCAAUAAGCAAAGUGGAUGAUGUUAAGCAAGCGAUUGAUCGGAAGAAAUCUUGCCUCUGCUUAGUCAUCCGCUCCUGUAAUGGAGUUUGAGGACCCAGUGCCAAAAGCCAGUCACUUCUCCCAGCCCCUUAAGCCUGGUGACUUGUGACCCUGACCUAGUGGAGAACGGAGGUAUCCAGCCCGUAGUCUGCGAUGGGAGAGACCCUCUGGGCCAAGCCAACGGUCCUUGCUCAAAGACCUCCCAGGGGCAUUCCCUGCUCGUUCCGGACCGGUCCUGAUAGAAAUACUAAGUGAUCGUGCGCUCCGGCCAGAACAAUACAGAACGUAGUUGUAGGUGUAGUUGCACGUUUGGCACCAGUAUUAAAUCCAAGAAGGAGAAAGAAGGAAUGAGAAAAGAAUCCCUUUGAUCCCUGAAUCAAGCUGAAAGCCCUGGAAGUCACUGGCCGCUCCCCAUCUCUUGGUGAAGAUCCAGGGGGAAGUUUAGGCCUUUGGGGACUUUUGCCUAUUUACCCAUCAAUGAUUUUUGUGUUUCUAACUGAAAUAUGAAGAAAGGAAGCUGAAAAAUUGGACUUCAUUGACCCGUCGCCAGCCACUCACUCGCCUUCUCCAGCUGCUGACCCGGAAUCUCUUGUACUCACUGGGACUCAGGGACAGGGCACAGGAACCCGCGGCCUUUGAUGCUGGGCCUGGGAGGCAGCCCGGGGCUUCCCGGCUUUCUUAGCUGCAGAACCUGUAGCAUUUUCCACUUCCUCAGAUGAGACCCGCCAGGAGGGAUUUAGGGACAGAAUAAACGAAAUGAAAGUGUAGGCAGCACCACCUCCUCUUGCCGGGUCAUGCUGGGCUCCCUGCCCUCCGAGGGCUUACGUUCUAAUCAUGGAGCCCACACCUGGAGCGUUCGGUCUGGAACAAGAGCCCACGUGUGUUUCCCUCGUGAGCCCCCCAGGCCGAGGACUAGCUGGCCUCCCCUGUCAGGUUAUUACCACCACGAUCAGACCGCUCCAUGACCUGCAGGGGUGGCCGGGGGUGGUCACUGUGCCAGCGGGCUCCCAGGGCUGCCCGUGAGGAGCGCCUGCCGCUGUCGGCCCUCAGCCUCCCCCCUCACCGCCCCAGCCCGGCCAUGGCUCUGAGCUCUCCGGGCUGGCUGACUGUGAGCCCUCUCUGGGAGGGGAGAUGGCUCCCCUUCCCAGCCACGGUCAGUCCAUCUGGAACCGCAGAAUCGCUCUUGAACCACAUUCCUUUCCAGCAAGACAGAUCCUCGGUUACGACAUAAUGGAAUUCCUUGUUUCUAGACAAACGGAACCUUCCACUCCCUCCCUCACCCUCGCCAUAAAAGCUGAGAUUUGACCUUUUAAGUGCCCAACCAACCAGAGAUGGGACGUGGACUCAUCAGGGCCCUCAUGUGGCCCGGGCCCAAGUCAGCCAAACCAUCCCCUUCCCCGACCGCCCUUGCUUUAGCCGGACCUUUUCCAUCCUUUCUCCUCAUCACCUCCUUAGAGAAGCUGGAGCCCGGGGGGCUUGGGGAGGAAGGGCCCCGUGGCUUGUGUCGGGCUGCCAGAGACGGGCGCUCCUUCCCUGAGGAGGGGCCGGCGCGGGGAGAGCCAAUUCCUCCUCCAGCCGGCGAGUGGGGAAGGCCCAGGCUCCUAGUGGCGGCUAAACCGGCUGUAAUUGUGGAGAUAGGAUUGGAAAGCGGAUCCCUUGACAGCACAUCUGGUGCACGGCCACUGGGCCGGCCGCCUCUGGCCACCCAGAGCCACAUGCAAAGUUCCCCUCCCCCAGCCCCCACCUCCUCGUCUUUUCUGAGUCCUGGCCCGGCCCUGGGCCAAAAGCACUUGAAUCCUGAGCCUUGAAGCUGAAACUUGAAAGGAAAGGCUCGGCAGAAGCACUUUUCAGAUCCUUUCAGACUUUAUUCCCUCCAUCCCUCCCUCUCUCAGACCCACAUCCUGAGUCACUAACCCUUUCCUUACCCAAACUGCAAACAAUCGUUGGGGAAAGGAGGGGUGUUGUGCAGGCUUUAUGCAAUGAACUUUGUCCCCGGUGGCUUUGGGGGAGAAUCAGUCGCUGCUUUUUUUUCAUAAACGACUCGGACGCUUACUCCCGGUUCAGAGUCUGUAAAAAUAUCUUGAAAACUACGUAUUUGGGAGUUGAGAUUUAGGAUCGAGGUUUGUUACAAGUCGUUCUCAUCAGCGUUAUUUGUCUCCCGUCUUCAUGGGUGAGUGGCCAAGAACCCUAACAUCGGAACCCCCAGAAGGAACCAAUUUCUCCUAGAACCGAACCCCUCAGACGUCCCUGGGACUUCUGACCGCCCCAGUCCUGGGGCUGCCCGGGGCCUGACGCCAGCCCUUCUAGCCUUUGGGCCUUUGGGCCCCCAAUCGGUGCCAUCCGGUUAGCUGGGCGCGGGGCUCGGCCUCCUGGUCAGUCCCGCCAGAGGCCCGGGCACUGCUGCCGGCGGCUCUCCCACCAUGCCCGCUGUUUCUCAUUUGCUGACCCUCGGGAUGGCUGGAACGCCCUUCUCCUUUAACAAUGAUUGAUCGCCAGGCAAGACAUCCAGUAUUAACGGGUGGAGAGACUGAAAGUCUCCCGUGAAAGAAUAAGGCAGCCCCGACCCCGGGAAGGGGAGCCCGGCCAGCCGCCGCUCCGGUGCCUCGGCGCGAGCUGGUCUCCCCACGGCGCGAGCUGGUCUCCACGCGGCGCUCGCCGCCCCUGGGUGAUCCAAGUCGAUAUCGUGUAACUCCUGCGAAAGUUUGUGAAACUCUGAGCCUCUGGUUUCAUAGACAUAUUUAUACACUAAGGAUUCUGCAGCAGAAUAUUUUUGAAAUCAUUCGCUGUUUUUGUAAGCUAUAUUUUUGUAUAUUUAAUUGCUAUUUUAAAAUUCUAAUGCAUCUUUUGCUAAUCACAUCCUUGUUUUGAAAAAAUAACGUUUGCAUGUGAUUGACUUGAAAUGUAAAUAAAAGCAGGUUUUGAAAAUACAUGUUGUCGGGAC